rnacentral:lncRNA from 1 species
CGGGGAGGGAGGAGGAGUAAAGACUGUUUACAAACUUGACGUACACACGCAGCCUUACCCAUACGGUCCAGGAAUCGGGGGGCCACCACCUGGGGCUUCUCUGAAGGGCCGCAUUCAGGUUCCGGGUCACUGCCCACCGCGAGGAUAACCUUCCAAACAACGGAAGGAACUCCUGCGCUCCAGCCCGAAGUCUUGGGGCAGCCAUGACUCACAGCAGCAGCCCCUCAGCCUUCGCCAGACCGCCGCCUCCGCCCACCCUGAACAACCUCAGCAACGCAGCCUGGGCGCCUCGGCUCCGAGGGCUUUGCUGGGGGCUUCAGGGGUCGACCUCCUUCCGCGUACCCCAGCAGGCUAGACCUCCCCCACCCAGCCUUCAAGCUUGCCGCGCUGCGCACCCGACUUCUCUAGUGCGCGGCGGGGAUGGCUGCAGCAUCCAGGCGAGGAACUCUGAAAACUCACAACGCACCGGGCUGCUUUCCAGAAGGACUUUCCUAAUGAACAAAUCCACCACCAGCGAGUGA